CAAACCAACUCUGAGCCCAAAUGAAUUCGGUCUAGACCGGCAGUUGGCCCAGUUUCAGUUUAUUACAAUAGCUAGGGUUUAUCAUUGAUACCCCUAUAUAUUUUAUCUUCAGCCACUAAACUCAAUUCGCGGCUAGGGUUUUCUCUCCUCUGUUAACUGCUGUAAAUUUAUAGUGUUGUACGUGGAAAGAACAGAUAUUCAGAGAUGAGAAGGUUCUUGAAGAACAAUGCCACAAUAAUGCCUUUUACUAGGAUCGGUAGAAUUUUGAAGAUGCUCUACGUAGAUUGAGAAGGGCCAGGAGAAGGUUUACCUACCAAGGAGAUGAGCCAGACAUCUGACGAUCCAGACAUCUUCUUGAUGAGGUAACAAGUUGGAUUCGAGAUGAUUUGAAGCUAAAGCUAACAGUUGAAGAACACGAACCAGUUUAAAAGAUUUCUGAAAGUAGGAGAUGAAGAAGAAGCUUUGAAGACAAUGUAGUACCCAGAUGCUUGCAGGGGCUAGGCAACUUACAGAUGGACCAGAUUUUCGCUUCCCCAGUAUACCGAGACAUUGUUGGUUUUUCAAGAAUUGUUCAAGGAAUAGUUACUUUUGGGAUCAAUUCCUUGUUGCAUUUGCAUUCCGCAUUUUGCACUCUCAUUUUUACAUUUGCAUGUGCAUCUUUGUAUUAACACAUAUACAUUAUACAUUACAUGGUAUACAUUGUAUUUCAACAUGCUUUAAUCACGGAUCAUGGGAGUAACUUGGGGAGAAUCUUGUGAUAAAAGUUUUGAGGUAAGACGGAGUCACCCCACUCGUUCCUAGAAGAGGAUUGAGAGAUAUGGACGUGAUGUUUGCACCGUCUGAAGUUUGAGGCACAUCAUCGAGAUAUGUGGGGCACUGAGAAGCAAAGCUCAGAUUUUGUUUAGUACAUGAGCAUAUCUCUUUAAUAAUGAGACCUCUCGGUGCGAACCAAGAAAUUCUUUCACCCACUGUAAAACCUUAU